UAAUACGGAGGGGGCGAGCGUUGUUCGGAAUCACUGGGUGUAAAGGGUGCGUAGGCGGUCCGAUAAGUCUGAUGUGAAAGCCCUGGGCUCAACUCAGGAACUGCAUUGGAAACUGACGGGCUAGAGUACCGGAGAGGGAAGCGGAAUUCCUGGUGUAGCGGUGAAAUGCGUAGAUACCAGGAGGAACACCGGUGGCGAAGGCGGUUUCCUGGCCGAGUACUGACGCUGAU
rnacentral:rRNA from 1 species